rnacentral:rRNA from 1 species
UGCGUAGGUGGCGUCGUAAGUCGGGUGUGAAAUCUCGGAGCUUAACUCCGAAACUGCAUUCGAUACUGCGGUGCUUGAGGACUGGAGAGGAGACUGGAAUUCAUGGUGUAGCAGUGAAAUGCGUAGAGAUCAUGAGGAAGACCAGUGGCGAAGGCGGGUCUCUGGACAGUUCCUGACACUGAGGCACGAAGGCCAGGGGAGCAAACG